GGAUGUGAGGGCGAUCUGGCUGCUACAUCUAUCAUCUCAUUGAUUGCCAGGGUUGAUUCGGCUGAUCUGGCUAGCUAGGCGGGUGUCCCCUUCCUCCCUGACUGCUCCAUGUGCGUCUCUCCCAAAGCUGCCCGCUGAGUGGAAGAGGUCGGCCUUCCCCGAAUAGAGACGGACAGGUCUUUGGUUAAGGGUAUACGAGUAGCUGCGUUCCCCUGCUAGAACCUCCAAACAAGCUCUCAAGAAUCAGAAAGGUUGGGAGUUAGGCGGUAGC
ensembl:misc_RNA 7SK 7SK RNA